CCAAUAGCGUAUAUUAAAGUUGUUGCAGUUAAGAAGCUCGUAGUUGAAUUUCGGGAUCAAGGGAUCGGUCAUGCCUUGGUAUGUACUGGUCUUAUUGGUUCUCACCUUCUAAAGAACCAUGAUGUCAUUCAUUUGAUGUUAUGGGGAAUUAGGACUGUUACCUUGAAAAAAUUAGAGUGUUUAAAGCAAGCUUACGCUUGAAUACAUUAGCAUGGAAUAAUGAAAUAGGACAUCAGAUUCUAUUUUGUUGGUUUCUAGGAUCGAUGUAAUGAUUAAUAGGGAUAGUUGGGGGCAUUAGUAUUCAAUUGUCAGAGGUGAAAUUCUUGGAUUUAUUGAAGACUAACUACUGCGAAAGCAUUUGCCAAGGAUGUUUUCAUUAAUCAAGAACGAAAGUUAGGGGAUCGAAGACGAUCAGAUACCGUCGUAGUCUUAACCAUAAACUAUGCCGACUAGGGAUCGGAUGAUGUUAAUUUUUUAAUGACUCAUUCGGCACCUUACG
rnacentral:rRNA from 1 species